UACGGGGGGGCAAGCGUUGUUCGGAAUUACUGGGCGUAAAGGGCUCGUAGGUGGCCAACUAAGUCAGACGUGAAAUCCCUCGGCUUAACCGGGGAACUGCGUCUGAUACUGGAUGGCUUGAGUUCGGGAGAGGGAUGCGGAAUUCCAGGUGUAGCGGUGAAAUUCGUAGAUAUUCGGAAGAACACCAGUGGCGAAGGCGGCUCACUGGACUGGUAUUGACGCUGAGGUGCGAAAGCGUGGGGAGCAAACAGGG
rnacentral:rRNA from 1 species